rnacentral:rRNA from 1 species
AUGAACGCUAGCUACAGGCUUAACACAUGCAAGUCGAGGGGCAGCAUUUUAGUUUGCUUGCAAACUGAAGAUGGCGACCGGCGCACGGGUGAGUAACACGUAUCCAACCUGCCGAUAACUCCGGGAUAGCCUUUCGAAAGAAAGAUUAAUACCGGAUGGCAUACGAAUAUCGCAUGAUAUUUUUAUUAAAGAAUUUCGGUUAUCGAUGGGGAUGCGUUCCAUUAGUUUGUUGGCGGGGUAACGGCCCACCAAGACUACGAUGGAUAGGGGUUCUGAGAGGAAGGUCCCCCACAUUGGAACUGAGACACGGUCCAAACUCCUACGGGAGGCAGCAGUGAGGAAUAUUGGUCAAUGGGCGCGAGCCUGAACCAGCCAAGUAGCGUGAAGGAUGAAGGCUCUAUGGGUCGUAAACUUCUUUUAUAUGGGAAUAAAGUUUUCCACGUGUGGAAUUUUGUAUGUACCAUAUGAAUAAGGAUCGGCUAACUCCGUGCCAGCAGCCGCGGUAAUACGGAGGAUCCGAGCGUUAUCCGGAUUUAUUGGGUUUAAAGGGAGCGUAGGUGGAUUGUUAAGUCAGUUGUGAAAGUUUGCGGCUCAACCGUAAAAUUGCAGUUGAAACUGGCAGUCUUGAGUACAGUAGAGGUGGGCGGAAUUCGUGGUGUAGCGGUGAAAUGCUUAGAUAUCACGAAGAACUCCGAUUGCGAAGGCAGCUCACUAGACUGUUACUGACACUGAUGCUCGAAAGUGUGGGUAUCAAACAGGAUUAGAUACCCUGGUAGUCCACACAGUAAACGAUGAAUACUCGCUGUUUGCGAUAUACAGUAAGCGGCCAAGCGAAAGCAUUAAGUAUUCCACCUGGGGAGUACGUUCGCAAGAAUGAAACUCAAAGGAAUUGACGGGGGCCCGCACAAGCGGUGGAGUAUGUGGUUUAAUUCGACGCAACGCGAAGAACCUUACCAGGUCUUGACAUUGAUCGCGAUCUGCAGAAAUGCGGAGUUCUUCUUCGGAAGACGAGAAAACAGGUGGUGCACGGCUGUCGUCAGCUCGUGUCGUGAGAUGUUGGGUUAAGUCCCGCAACGAGCGCAACCCUUAUUGCCAGUUACUACGCAAGAGGACUCUGGCGAGACUGCCGUUGACAAAACGGAGGAAGGUGGGGAUGACGUCAAAUCAUCAUGCCCCUUAUGUCCUGGGCUACACACGUAAUACAAUGGCGGUCAACAGAGGGAUGCAAAACCGUGAGGUGGAGCGAACCCCUAAAAGCCGUCCCAGUUCAGAUCGUGGGCUGCAACCCGCCCACGUGAAGUCGGAAUCGCUAGUAAUCGUGGAUCAGAAUGCCACGGUGAAUACGUUCCCGGGCCUUGUACACACCGCCCGUCACACCAUGGGAGUCAGUAACACCCGAAGCCGGUGACCUAACCGAAAGGGAGGAGCCGUCGAAGGUGGGAUCGAUAACUGGGGUG